rnacentral:misc_RNA from 1 species
GGAAGGAUCAUUAACACGUAUCCACGUUUUAACAAAAACAUUAUCAACACCAGAAAGAACUGAACUCCCUACUGAUAAAACUGCGGUGUCGUAAUCCUGUCUUGAUGGGUCCCAGUCUAGCGUGUAGUUGUUUGAGACUUGCGUUAGAUUGAAGGCUGGCAGGCGUCGACUAUCAUACCUCGAGUAUGUGCCAAAACAUUAUUAGUAGGCUUACUGACUCUAUUCUCGCGUGGAAGUCAAAUUCCAAUCCUUACCAUCAUAAGGCCGAGUCUAGAACCCCAUACCUAUUUCACCCUAUUUUACCCAUUUGACUAAUUAUGAUAUUCUUAGGAGAAAUCCUUUGAAUUACUAAGAUUUAUCUUAACUAAGCACAACUCUUAGCAAUGGAUAUCUUGGUUCUCGCAACGAUGAAGAACGCAGCGAAAUGCGAUAUGUAAUGCGAAUUGCAGAAUUCAGUGAAUCAUCGAAUCUUUGAACGCAAAUUGCGCUCUCGGGAUAGACCUGGGAGCACGCCUCUCUGAGUAUCGGUUCAACCCAUCUCACUUGGCGUAUGGAAUGAGUUUCGGCUCGUUUUAUAUGCUACUGUGGAAAAUGAGAGUCUUGGCUACAUUUAAGCGGCUAAGUCUCUUGAAAUAUGUUGAGCUUAGAUCGACUAGUUACCUUCUUACCUUCGGGUAGGAUAGCGCCGUUUGGCUCUUUCUCUACUAGUAACGUGGAUAAUCUCACCCUUGUGGUGUCUUGAAACGUUAUCUAGCUUUAGGGUUAGGUUCAAGUUGAAUGGUUGUGAACAUUUCUAGAUAGAUCGACAGCGUAUGAAUUGCCUUUACUUAGCAUUAGUUUUUGGAUUAGUGUUUAUGUAAACCCUUUCGAAUUAGAUCUCAGAUGAAGCGAGAAGACCCCCUGAAUUUAAGCAUAUUAAUAAGGGGAGGAAAAGAAACUAACAAGGAUUCCCCUAGUAACGGCGAGUGAAGCGGGAAGAGCUCAAUAUGAAAAUCGGUGCUCCAAGCGGGUCAUCGAAUUGUAGCCUAGAGACGUGUCAUCAGCGUGUGAGCCAGGUACAAGUCCUUUGGAAGAAGGCAUCAGAGAGGGUGAGAAUCCCGUCCUUGACCUGGAGUUCGCCGCGUACGAUGCAUGUUCACAGAGUCGAGUUGUUUGGGAUUGCAGCUCUAAAUGGGUGGUAAGUUUCAUCUAAAGCUAAAUAUAGGCGAGAGACCGAUAGCGAACAAGUACCGUGAGGGAAAGAUGAAAAGAACUUUGAAAAGAGAGUUAAAAAGUACUUGAAAUUGCUAAGAGGGAAGCGCUGGAAACCAGUCGUUACUUAUAGUCAUAUCGAUUAUUUGCUCUCGAAGGUGUAUGUUGGUAGUGGGUUAACCCUAUCAAUAUGCUCGGACGGUGGGUAAGUAGUUCUGUGGCUGUGAGUGUGUCAGGAUCAAUUCGAUUCGCAGGAGAAAGUAAUGAGAAAGGUAGGACUGCUUUCGGGUAGUCUGUUAUAGUCUUGUUACCAUACUGUGGAUUGGAUUGAGGAAGUCAUGUUGCGCCUUUUUGGCUUGGUACCUUGUUCCUGCUGGAUCAAUUGGUUUGGAUAGCAAUGCUAUGCGGCUAAUGAAGUCUGGUACUGGGUGAGACUACCAUAUGCAUCAUCGCGAUUCUGACGAAAUGGUUUUCAUCGACCCGUCUUGAAACACGGACCAAGGAGUCUAACAUAUAUGCGAGUAUUUGGGUGGUAAACCCUGAUGCGUAAUGAAAGUAAAGGCAGCUUGUCUGCUGAGGUAGGAACCCGGCAACGGGGGCACUAUCGACCGAUCAUCACUUGUGAAAGAUUUGAGUAAGAGCAUAUCUGUUGGGACCCGAAAGAUGGUGAUCUAUGCCUGAACAGGGUGAAGCCAGGGGAAACUCUGGUGGAAGCUCGUAGCGAUACUGACGUGCAAAUCGUUCGUCUGAUUUGGGUAUAGGGGCGAAAGACUAAUCGAACCAUCUAGUAGCUGGUUCCCUC